rnacentral:lncRNA from 1 species
CAAGAAAUAAAAGAGUGGGUAGCACCUGUAUCAAUCUGAGCUUGAGCAGAAAUGUCAUGAAUGGAAAACAUACCCUGGACAAGAGCAGGAGUGGUGAGGGAACAAUGUUCAUCAAGGUGGUAUACACGACCGUGGGCUACUAGUUUGGCCAUGUCAUUCAGCUACUAGGGACAGUCUUUCACAAAGUGUUGAGUGCUUUUGCGCUUAUAGCAGGUGUUAUUCAAAUGCUGACAUGGCUGAUCACCAUGCAAGCAUCCACAAUGCUGACAUGGUUGAGUAGCUUGGGCAGGGUGUCUAGUAGGUAGAGGCAAAGUAGGGGGGAGGGGCAACUCGAGGUUGUUUGUUGAGAUGGUUGCUAAUUACAUUAGACAGUUUUCUUAUUGGUUGUUGGGGUUGGUGUUGCUAUUAUUGGGGCAAUGCAUUGGUGUUAGAUCGAGAUAAGAUUUUUGCCUACUAGACAUGUUCCAGCACCACGACAUAUGAGCUGGGUCCCAGUAUUACAAUCUGGUCAUAGAUAUCGAUACAAAUGACCUUACGAAACUUCCUAGCCUU